GAUGAAGAACGUAGCAAAAUGCGAUAAGUAAUGUGAAUUGCAGAAUUCAGUGAAUCAUCGAAUCUUUGAACGCACAUUGCGCCCGCCAGUAUUCUGGCGGGCAUGCCUGUUCGGGCGUCAUUUCAACCCUCAAGCACAGCUUGGUGUUGGGACUCGCGUUAAUUCGCGUUCCUCAAAUUGAUUGGCGGUCACGUCGAGCUUCCAUAGCGUAGUAGUAAAACCCUCGUUACUGGUAAUCGUCGCGGCCACGCCGUUAAACCCCAACUUCUGAAUGUUGACCUCGGAUCAGGUAGGAAUACCCGCUGAACUUAAGCAUAUCAAUAAGCGGAGGA
rnacentral:misc_RNA from 1 species